rnacentral:misc_RNA from 1 species
GCAUGUCAAUUCCUAUGCAAUGUGAAGGAAACUUCUGAGAGCAUGAAGCCUCAUGCUGCUGCAAAGUUCCAGGAUAUAUAUCUAGUAUGUCAUUACUGGCAUCAAUCUUUAGGAUGUCAACAUUUUCAUCGAUGCAAACCCUUCUUCUUUUGGUCCUGAAACCAUCAAUUGGAUAUUCAAGAUCUUCACUUGAAAACAAAGAACUAUCAAGCAUCAGGCUUGUUUGUGAGGAGCAACCCUGCAAGAAAGGUUUUCC